AUGAACGAAGGUGCUGUGAUUCUGUGUCUCCCACGCAGUCCUACACAAAUUCUCUCUUUGUCUCCUCCACAGCUUCUCUCUGCCUCCCACUCUCUCCUCCACAGCUUAUCCCUGUCUCCUACUCUCUCCUCCACAGCUUAUCCGUCUCCUACUCUCUCCCCCACAGCUUAUCCCUGUCUCCUACUCUCUCCCCCACAGCUUAUCCCUGUCUCCUACUCUCUCCUCCACAGCUUAUCCCUGUCUCAAACUCUCUCCUCCACAGCUUAUCCCUGUCUCCUACUCUCUCCCCCACAGCUUAUCCCCGUCUCCUACUCUCUCCUCCACAGCUUAUCCCUGUCUCCUACUCUCUCCUCCACAGCUUAUCCCUGUCUCCUACUCUCUCCUCCACAGCUUAUCCGUCUCCUACUCUCUCCCCCACAGCUUAUCCCUGUCUCCUACUCUCUCCCCCACAGCUUAUCCCUGUCUCCUACUCUCUCCUCCACAGCUUAUCCCUGUCUCAAACUCUCUCCUCCACAGCUUAUCCCUGUCUCCUACUCUCUCCCCCACAGCUUAUCCCCGUCUCCUACUCUCUCCUCCACAGCUUAUCCCUGUCUCCUACUCUCUCCUCCACAGCUUAUCCCUGUCUCCUACUCUCUCCCCCACAGCUCAUCCCUGUCUCCUACUCUCUCCCCCACAGCUUAUCCCUGUCUCCUACUCUCUCCCCCACAGCUUAUCCCUGCCUCCCACUCUCUCCUCCACAGCGUAUCCCUGUCUCCCACUCUCUCCUCCACAGCGUAUCCCUGUCUCCUACUCUCUCCCCCACAGCUUAUCCCUGUCUCCUACUCUCUCCCCCACAGCUUAUCCCUGCCUCCCACUCUCUCCUCCACAGCUUAUCCCUGUCUCCUACUCUCUCCCCCACAGCUUCUCUCUGCCUCCCACUCUCUCCUCCACAGCUUAUCUCUGUCUCCUACUCUCUCCUCCACAGCUUAUCCCUGUCUCCUACUCUCUCCUCCACAGCUUAUCCCUGUCUCCUACUCUCUCCUCCACAGCUUAUCCCUGUCUCCUACUCUCUCCUCCACAGCUUCUCUCUGCCUCCUACUCUCUCCUCCACAGCUUCUCCCUGUCUCCUACUCUCUCCUCCACAGCUUAUCCCUGUCUCCUACUCUCUCCUCCACAGCUUAUCUGUCUCCUACUCUCUCCUCCACAGCUUAUCCCUGUCUCCUACUCUCUCCUCCACAGCUUAUCUCUGUCUCCUACUCUCUCCACUCUGUUGGGUCCAGCACUACUGUAGUACACCUCCACCAUGGCAUCUUUGGAGGUCAGCAAGGUGACCACGCUCUCGGUCCUUGUGAUGAGGUCAUAGCCCAGGCAGAACACACUGAACAGCACAGCGAGCCCCAGCACACAAAUCGCAAUCUGCGCCACGUGAACAGACUCCUCUCGCUGGUCGCCAGCCCCGUCUAUUAUCACCCCUGGGGAGAGGACAUAACAGCAGGCACCUACGAUACCGUUCCCCACACGUCUGGCACUACAGGAGAACAUUUGACCUGUCCUGGCAUUAGCUCUCCACACCCUAAAAUACAUCUUAGGGAAGUUCAAGACAGAAGUCUGAAUGAAAUUGAUGUCUGA
ensembl:lncRNA